UACGUAGGUGACCAGCGUUGUCCGGAUUUACUGGGCGUAAAGAGCGCGCAGGCGGUCGGUCAAGUCGAGUGUGAAAGCCCCCGGCUCAACUGGGGAGGGUCACUCGAUACUGAUCGACCUGAAGGCAGGAGAGGGAAGCGGAAUUCCCUGUGUAGCGGUGAAAUGCGUAGAGAUGGGGGAGAACACUCGUGGCGAAGGCGGCCAGCUAGACCAGUUCUGACACUGAGGCGCGACAGCGUGGGGAGCAAACAGG
rnacentral:rRNA from 1 species